UUUUACAUUUUUUGUUACGAAUUUUCGUUGUCUUUUACUUUAUUCAUGUAUUAUUCAGGGUGAUUUGCUUAAUUAUUUAUAGAAUAAAUGUCUAAUAAAUAAAUGUCUAAUUUCUAAGCUACACCAUGUAAUAUUAAAUUGUGUAAAAUAUGUUUAAUAUCUGGCUGGUCAGAUGGGAGUAAGAGAAUUUUCAUGGCUAAAUUUUGUUUGGAUAAAGAAAGAUUCUGGACCCCCUACGACUUCAAAAAAUAUUUAUUGCAACAUCUGAAAAACGAAUACCAAUGACUGUCUAAACCGAAGCUACAACGCAAAACAAAACUAUUAAUAAAAUAUUAAUUAUGUUAA